UCCUCUCAUCAGAUCUGUCGUUCCAAGUUCGAAAGCUCUUUUUUGUCACCUGCUACAUCUCCCUUCACAGAUCUCGUUUGCUACCAUUGUUCCUUGCGUUUGACAGCUGCUCAACGCCGCUAUGACAAUUCCAGAUUGCGAUUCCAUUCAGACUCCCAGCCGUGACGAUUCAAAUUCUAGUUACUCGCUGAUGUGACGAUUCCGAUCUCGAGUGCGAUUUCGUGCAUGAUUUCUAUUCCGAUCUGUGGAAGCUUCACCACUCCAUCUUUUUGUGUUUCAUUUGCGGUUCCCCAAUGGUCCUCCUUUCUGGCUUGAGGGGCUACCUCUUUUCUUUUGCUUGUUUACUUUUUUCCUUUCCUGUUUUGGCUUCUUUGGUUUCUAAUUUUUGUCUCUUAUUUUGCAAUUAAAUAGCCAAAUAGCAUUGAACAUGUGUCUCUAUGCCUUCAAUGGAAUCUCUAGAUACUUGAAUUCCCUCUUGGUUGUUGGAAAAACACAUAAAAGAAGCCUUAGUGUUUCGAUGCUGCAUUGCUUAGUUGAUAGAAGUAUAUUUAUGGUUGAAGUAAGAUCUCCUUUCUUUCUCAUCUAUGUGGGAGUCUUAUAUAUAUAUAUAUAUAUAUAAACUGUGCGCACGAGCAUUCUUCUUAUAUAUAUAUAUAUAUAUAUAUGAGUUUGUGUGUGUGGAAGAUAUAUUCAAUAUGUCUAGAAUUGCUUCUUUGAUUCAUCCUGCACUUUCCUUGCGCUACUGUAGUCGAAAAUAAUUAUUGGAUUUUCUUUUGAACUAGGCUGAUUUUAUCGACAUCGAUUUAUCAUACCAGAUAGGAAAAGAAAGCUCUUGGAUGCAAAAACAUACUGUAUAGAUUAUCAUUACUGGCUUGUUGCUAUGGAUGAGUUAAUGUCCAAGGGAAAGCAGAAUGCUGACCAAGCUCGGGUGGCUUGACAAGAUUAUUUUGGUGACCUAUAUUUCACAAUUCCACAUUUGUUUGAGGGAUAAAUGAACAGCAUUCAAAGCAAGCUAACAAAGGGCACAGGAAAGUGGUCCUCAAACUUGGAGAUUGGAUUUGGGUGCAUCUCAAGCCUAAUUUUCAAAUUUGAAGAAGACAAAGUUGCAUCCAAAAGACGAUGGACCUUUUCAAGUGUUGGAACGAAUUAGUAACAAUGCCUACAAGAUAGACCUCCCUAGUUUCCAUGGGAAUGUGUUAGCUACAUUUAGCAUUGCAAAUCUUUCUUUAUUUGAUGCAUGUAAUUGAAAAAUGAAUCCUUUUCAAGAAGGAGGGAAUGAUGGGAAUCAAGUGACGAGUUAGAAUUUAAUAUUUAGUACCUUUGAUCCGUUACAAAGCAUUAGAGGACCAAUGAUUAGAUCCAAAGCUAAGAGGAUGAAAGAAGCCCUAAAUUCAUUAAUUAGAGAUGUUGCAAAUAAUCAAAAAGUCUUGAAGAUGAAUGGAGUUCUAAAAGACUAAAGAAAGACUUUUAGCAUAUUAGGCUUAACC